GGCGCGUUCGUCUAGUGGCCUAGGACGCCACCCUUUCAAGGUGGAGAUCGCCAGUUCGAAUCUGGUACGCGCCA
rnacentral:tRNA from 2 species